UACGUAGGGUGCAAGCGUUGUCCGGAAUUAUUGGGCGUAAAGAGCUCGUAGGCGGUCUGUCGCGUCUGCUGUGAAAACUCAGGGCUUAACCCUGAGCUUGCAGUGGGUACGGGCAGACUAGAGUGCGGUGGGGGAGACUGGAAUUCCUGGUGUAGCGGUGAAAUGCGCAGAUAUCAGGAGGAACACCGGUGGCGAAGGCGGGUCUCUGGGCCGAUACUGACGCUGAGGAGCGAAAGCUAGGGGAGCAAACGGG
rnacentral:rRNA from 1 species